GCUAAGGCUCAGGCUCAGUCUUAGGCUUAAACUUAGGCUCUGGCUUAGACUGGCUUAGGCUGGCUUAGGCUUGUUUAGGUUAACCUAGGCUGGUUUAAACAAGCCUAAGCUUAGGCUUAGGCUUAGGCUCUGGCUUAG
ensembl:ncRNA Y75B8A.57 ncRNA